AUGACUGACGAAGUUCAGAGAAAAUUCCAGGAAGCCACUACUAUGUUUGUGGGAUGCAUUCUGAGUGUUCUUGCUGACCGUCUGUGUGAUGUGUACAUGCACAUAAAUGACGGAAAGGUUCUGUGGAAUGCACUGAAUGUAAAAUUCGGUGCAACAGAUGCAGGCAGUGAACUGUACAUCAUGGAGAGUUUUCAUGACUACAAGAUGGUGAAUAACCGUUCUGUGGUUGAACAACCUCAUGAGAUACAGUGCAUUGUGAAGGAACUUGAACUCCUUAAAUGUGUUCUACCCGACAAAUUCGUGGCUGGGUGCAUGAUUGCAAAGUUGUCUCCUUCAUGGAGGAAUUUCGCCACAACUCUGAAGCAUAAGAGACAGGAGAUAUCAGUUGAAAAUCUGAUUGCAUCUCUUGAUGUUGAAGAAAAAGCUCGGGCUAAAGAUACUACUGAAAAAGGAGGUGAGGUUCAGCUUACUGCUAACAUGGUGCAGAGGUACCCACAGAACAAGAACAAAGGGAAGAACAAACCUGUUUUCAACAAGCCUACCAAGACUACUACCUUCAAGAAGAAGAAGUUCAACAAGGCUGAGCUAGAGUGCUACGCCUGUGGGAAGCCUGGACACUUUUCCAAGGAAUGCCCUGAAUGUGCAGACCGCAGAGGGAAAGCAAGCUCCAAGACUGUCAACAUGGUGACCGCUAGCAAUACUGAUGGGUCGCAAGGGAUUCUUCUGUCCUAA
rnacentral:rRNA from 1 species